rnacentral:rRNA from 1 species
GACGAACGCUGGCGGCGUGCUUAACACAUGCAAGUCGAACGGAAAGGCCCUGCUUUUGUGGGGUGCUCGAGUGGCGAACGGGUGAGUAACACGUGAGUAACCUGCCCCUGACUUUGGGAUAACUCCAGGAAACUGGGGCUCAUACCGGGUAGGAGCUCCUGCUGCAUGGUGGUGGUUGGAAAGUUUCGGCGGUUGGGGAUGGUCUCGCGGCUUAUCCGCCUGUUGGUGGGGUAGUGGCUUACCAAGGCUUUGACGGGUAGCCGGCCUGAGAGGGUGACCGGCCACAUUGGGACUGAGAUACGGCCCAGACUCCUACGGGAGGCAGCAGUGGGGAAUAUUGCACAAUGGGCGGAAGCCUGAUGCAGCAACGCCGCGUGCGGGAUGACGGCCUUCGGGUUGUAAACCGCUUUCGCCUGUGACGAAGCGUGAGUGACGGUAAUGGGUAAAGAAGCACCGGCUAACUACGUG